rnacentral:misc_RNA from 1 species
GUUUCUCAUUGUUUCUCAAUUAAGAGAGAUUUAUUAAGUCACAUAAAAAUAUAACAAGUGGUAUUUCAUCUAGGCUGACGAGCCGCGGACAGAUCACUCAAUUAAGAGCUUUCAGCCAUCAGAGCCUCUCCUAGCAGAGGUGAAAAGAAAGGACCAGUAAAGGCCCCAACUUCAGUGAUGAAACGAACCGGCGACCGCCAAUAGACAUUUCAGUGGUUCACAAGGGUGUUAAUUUGAUCCUGCGCCAUUGUGUCAGCAAAAAAAUUGCCUGCACUACGGCGCAGUCACAAAAGAUUGUUAAUGAUCCAACCGCAGGUUCACCUACGGUUA